rnacentral:rRNA from 1 species
AGAGUUAAAGAGGACGUGAAACCGAUAAGAUUGAAACGGAUAGAGCUGACGUAUCCAGCCUGUAUUCAUCCGUGUUGACGCAGUGGACUCGAGUCAACUCUUCCGGCUUUUGGGCGGUUGAUUCGUGUUACGCGGCUAUACGGUGCUUUUGCAGGUGAAGUGCGCCGAGUCGCGUUUUGCAGCGGUACAAACUUUGUCAUUGAGGUCUCGCUUCGGCGAGCAACCCGUGCGGAGGGAAGACUGUUUGUGAGGCGUGUUAUAGAGUGUUUAUGGCUUUGCGAUUUGGGUCGUUGUUGAGCUAGUUGCGGGAUGUAUUCGCAUGCGGGUGCUUUCGUGAUUAGUUUGGCAAUGCGCUCACAAUACCUAGCUCAUCUCGGUGUAACAGUUGGUCAUCUAUCCGACCCGUCUUGAAACACGGACCAAGGAGUUUAUCACAUAUGCGAGUCAUUGAGCGUUUAAAACUCAAAGGCGUAAUGAAAGUGAAGGUACUCUAACGUACUGAUAUGCGAUCCAUUUCUACUUUGGUGUUGUGGAGCAGCAUAGCCCCAUUCUGAUUGCUUGCAAUAGGGUGGAGGUAGAGCAUAUUUGAUGAGACCCGAAAGAUGGUGAACUAUGCCUGAGCAGGAUGAAGCCAGAGGAAACUCUGGUGGAAGUCCGAAGCGUUCUGACGUGCAAAUCGAUCGUCUGACUUAGGUAUAGGGGCGAAAGACUAAUCGAACCUUC